AGUGAACGCUGGCGGUAGGCCUAACACAUGCAAGUCGAACGGCAGCACAGUAAGAGCUUGCUCUUACGGGUGGCGAGUGGCGGACGGGUGAGGAAUACAUCGGAAUCUACUUUUUCGUGGGGGAUAACGUAGGGAAACUUACGCUAAUACCGCAUACGACCUACGGGUGAAAGCAGGGGAUCUUCGGACCUUGCGCGAUUGAAUGAGCCGAUGUCGGAUUAGCUAGUUGGCGGGGUAAAGGCCCACCAAGGCGACGAUCCGUAGCUGGUCUGAGAGGAUGAUCAGCCACACUGGAACUGAGACACGGUCCAGACUCCUAAGGGAGGCCGCAGUGGGGAAUAUUGGGCAAUGGGCGCAAGCCUGAUCCAGCCAUACCGCGUGGGUGAAGAAGGCCUUCGGGUUGUAAAGCCCUUUUGUUGGGAAAGAAAAGCAGCAGGUUAAUACCCCGCUGUUCUGACGGUACCCAAAGAAUAAGCACCGGCUAACUUCGUG
rnacentral:rRNA from 1 species